AGGUUAGGACUUUUGCAAUGUUGUUCUCGUCUAAUAUUGCACUUGUCCCGGCCUGC
rnacentral:pre_miRNA from 1 species